ensembl:lncRNA
CCCAACACACCCAAGGACCUCAAACAUUAGUGUUCAUAAAAUCCUCUAGGGAAUCCUGAUGCCCAGAGGGCUCUUAUUUGACCCUACGGAGAUGAGAAGAGAAUCCUGGUGAUGCCUGAGGCUGAAUUUCCCACUGGACAGGUAGAGGCAGAAGAAGGUUUCACAUGUGAACAAAGAAGGUCGGGGGCCACGUCAACAAACAAAGGAUGCUGAGGCCGUCAAGCCAUCAAGCCAGCAGCCACCGCAGCCUGCCCUGACUGUGUACCCUGAGAGGAUUCAGAUUGGAGAAAAGCAGGAUACUGGCUCCAGAGAUCAGUCUCCAGGAAGUGAGAUUCCAAGAAGCUCAGAGGCAAGCCUGUUCCAGGACCAUACUUUCUGCCUCUGCACUGACAGAUGAUUCCCUGAAACAGCCACAAGAGUACAAGCUUGGUGGAGUGGAGUAGGGCAGAGCCUUGGCAAAUGUCUCAUAUACUCCAGGCGCUGUGCCAAAGGCUUCAUCUCAUCCAACCUUCCAGAGGCCCUGUGAGGCCUCAACAGUAUUGAAAUUAAGCCAGAUAACAGCCCUGCAAUGGCCUCUAAGUGUUCAAGUAAAAGGAAGAGUCACACAUCUUCAUUUUAAAUCAAAUGCUAGAAAUGAUUCAGCUCACUGAGAAAAGCAUAUCGACAGCCCAGACUGGCCAAAAGCUUCCCUGGUGGCUCAGAUGGUAAAGAGUCGGCCUGCAAUGCAGGAGACCCAGGUUCGAUCCCUGGGUCAGGAAGUUCCCCUGGAGAAGGAAAUGGCAAUCUACUCCAGUAU